AAUAAGUGUAAUUUUACACCGUUCAUACCCAACGUUUGAUUGUUCGUCUUAUUUAAUUUUUUUUUACGAUUAGUAUUUUUAUUAGUAUUAGAUGAUAAAACAUGAAUAGUAAUAUAUGCGUGACUAAUUUCUUUUAAUUUUUUUUAUAAAUUUUUGAAAUAAGACAGACGAUCAAACAUUGGACACGGAUACCUACAGCUGCACUUAUU
rfam:Oryza sativa Japonica Group DNA, chromosome 3, cultivar: Nipponbare, complete sequence.